GACAGAGGGUGCAAACGUUGCUCGGAAUUACUGGGCGUAAAGGGCGUGUAGGCGGGCAGGUAAGUCGGGCGUGAAAUCCCUGGGCUCAACCCAGGAACUGCACUCGAAACUACUUGUCUUGAGUACCGGAGAGGAAAGCGGAAUUCCUGGUGUAGAGGUGAAAUUCGUAGAUAUCAGGAGGAACACCGGUGGCGAAGGCGGGUCUCUGGGCAGUAACUGACGCUGAGGAGCGAAAGCGUGGGGAGCGAACAGG
rnacentral:rRNA from 1 species